rnacentral:lncRNA from 1 species
GCAAUCUAGUAUAAAAUAAAGGUAACAGUGAUUGGUGAAUUACAAUUCUAACAGCAAACAAAUAAUAAAUAAAUGAAUACAUAACAGCACAAUAUCACUCUAACUAAACAGGAUAUGCAACAUAAUAAUUGUAUAUGUUAUGUCUAAAAAUAAAAACAGUUCAGUUACUGAGUUUUAAGGAAGAGAGCAGCACCACAUUGCAGCCAGACAUUUUUAUUUCCACCACAUGGUACUUCCAUUUUCGCCACGAUACGAUCACGUUCAUUACUGGUGUAGAUAGGUAUAGAGAUGGUGUCAUCCAAACUAUACGCAUCUGGAGAAUCCUGAAAAA